rnacentral:lncRNA from 1 species
CCGAGAAAAGGUCAGUCAUGUGCAAAAAAUUAGGACCGAAGCCAAAGCAAACUAGGUAUGGUUUAUGUCAACUCCAGCAACCUUCCCCUCCAAUGGAUUUCAAACACACCGAGGAGGUGAGGCACCUUCCAUAGAGAACAAAUGAUUUAAAAAAAAAAGUGUAAUAUUGCCUUGAAAAAUGUUAACUUUGAAUGACUACUA